rnacentral:rRNA from 1 species
GACGAACGCUGGCUUUUUGCUUAACACAUACAAGAAGAACCGUCCGGCCCUUCGGGGUACUCAAGGGGCGAACAGAUGAGUAACACGUGGCCCAUCCGCCCUGAAAUUUGGGAUAAACCUGGGAAACUGCGUAUAAUACCCAAGAGGACCACGGCUUUCGUGUGAAGUGUUUUAAAGCUUGGACGGGGCCGCAGGCCCCCACCUUCUAUCGGGUUGAUGGUGCCCCAAUGGCCCAACAAGGAAACCACCGGUAAACGGUAUGAGACGCUGACCGGCCUCAAUAGGACUGAAAUACCGCCCAGACUCCUACGGGAGGAAAUAGUGGAAAAUGUUGCACACUGGGUGCAAGCCUGAUGCAGCGACACCACGUGAUUGAUGACGGAAUUCCUUUUGUAAACCUCUUACAGCACCGACGAGGCGCGAGUGACGAUAGGUACAGAAGAAUGACCGGCCAACUACGUGCCAACAGCCGGGGCAAUACGUAGGCCCCAAUCUUUGUCCGAAAAUACUGGACGUAGAGAGCUCGUAGGUGGUUUGUCGCGUUGUUCGUGAAAACUCACAGCUUAACUGUGGGCGUGCGGGCGAUACGGGCAGACUGGAGUACUGCAGGGGAGACUGGAAUUCCUGGUGUAGCGGUGGAAUGCGCAGAUAUCAGGAGGAACACCGGUGGCGAAGGCGGGUCUCUGGGCAGUAACUGACGCUGAGGAGCGAAAGCGUGGGGAGCGAACAGGAUUAGAUACCCUGGUAGUCCACGCCGUAAACGGUGGGUACUAGGUGUGGGUUUCCUUCCUUGGGAUCCGUGCCGUAGCUAACGCAUUAAGUACCCCGCCUGGGGAGUACGGCCGCAAGGCUAAAACUCAAAGGAAUUGACGGGGGCCCGCACAAGCGGCGGAGCAUGUGGAUUAAUUCGAUGCAACGCGAAGAACCUUACCUGGGUUUGACAUGCACAGGACGCCGGCAGAGAUGUCGGUUCCCUUGUGGCCUGUGUGCAGGUGGUGCAUGGCUGUCGUCAGCUCGUGUCGUGAGAUGUUGGGUUAAGUCCCGCAACGAGCGCAACCCUUGUCUCAUGUUGCCAGCACGUUAUGGUGGGGACUCGUGAGAGACUGCCGGGGUCAACUCGGAGGAAGGUGGGGAUGACGUCAAGUCAUCAUGCCCCUUAUGUCCAGGGCUUCACACAUGCUACAAUGGCCGGUACAAAGGGCUGCGAUGCCGUAAGGUGGAGCGAAUCCUUUCAAAGCCGGUCUCAGUUCGGAUCGGGGUCUGCAACUCGACCCCGUGAAGUCGGAGUCGCUAGUAAUCGCAGAUCAGCAACGCUGCGGUGAAUACGUUCCCGGGCCU